rnacentral:rRNA from 1 species
GAUGAACGCUGGCGGCGUGCCUAAUACAUGCAAGUCGAACGAACAGACGCUGCGCUUGCGGCGCGGACGUUUGCGGCAGAGGUGAGUGUAACGCGUGUAUAACCUCCCUGUAUGACGGAUAAAACCUCGGGAAACGGGAUAAUAUCCCGGAGAAGAUCUUGAUGCACGUUGGGCGUUGGUGAAAGACGGUGGUUCGGGCACUUAUAGAGGGAUCUGCGCCGCAUUAGCUAGUUGUUAAGGUAACGGCUUACGAAGGGGAGGAGGCGUAGCCGACCGGAGAGGGUGAUCGCCCACACUGGAGCUGGGACACGGUCAAGAGGCCUACGGGAGGCAGCAGUAGGGUACGUUCGGCAACAGGCGAAAGCAUGACGGAGCAACGGCGCGUGAGUGAUGAAGGUGUCCGGAUCGUAAAACCCUGUUAUGAGGGAAAAACCAAUGUGUAAGUAACUAAGGACGUAUUGACGGUAACUGAUAAGAAGGCAACGGCUAACUACGUG